GGUAUCCGUAGCUACUGCAGCUGUUAUGCUGUUUGAAUCCUUUUUAAAGCUAGACUUAACUGGAGUUGUGAGAAGCAUAACUCUCCUGAAGGAAUCUCUAGCAGAAGGAGCAAUCAUUUUCAAGUGCUGCCCAUUUGCCAAAAUAAAGAUGUCCUUUCUCCAGCCAAACUUGAGCUGCCAGAGUGAACUAAUGACUUCAGAAUGGAAGACAGAUGCUUCCUGCGGGAGGAUUCCUGGGCAGACAGAGAACACAUAACCAGAGCUGGUUUCAGAAUUUGUGAGGCCCAGUGCAAAAUGAAAAUGGAGGACGACUUGUUCAAAAGUUAGGGGGAAAAGUGUUAUUAAAGGGACCAAAAUAUAAAGCUUUCCUCCUUUUCCCACAGUAUCUCUGCUUUUUAAUGUAUCUAAUGCUGCCCUAAUUAAAUAAGAAUAAAGCAUUUUAAGUUAAUGGCUUUUAUUUAUUUAUUUUUAUCAUUUCAAAUCCUUUAUUAUACAUCAUGGGUGCACAAUUUGAGGCUGGUUAAACACAAUUGGUUUCCAAAAUUUCUUUGAAUAGUUCCUAGAUUUACUACAUGAAUGUGACCAUGAAAAUAUUUGGCAUUUUAAAAUUUUGAAACUCUGAACAGGCACUUACAUGAAGGAAAACAUUACCAUUCACAGAUAGCCACAUUUAAAAUAGAUGCUCCAGCACAUGGUACAUGGAACCUUUUGCCGAUAAUGAAGUUGGUUACUGACCAUUUUAUCAAAGUGCCAUAGUAGUAAACAGGUUUAAAGAAAUGUAACUUGGGUUACUUAGCUUACUCAUAAAGUAAGGUUAACGGACAAGACUUGCGCUGAAGUGUAUAAAAAAAUAUUGGUACAAAAACCAGUGAACCCUUAGUGAAAGUAGUUUCACACGACAGGCUUCAUUUUAGUUCCUACACCCCACAUUUAGUGUAUCUGAGAUCAGACCCCAUGCAUACGAACAGAUGACUGAAACCUUCUUUUGGAACUUUGAACAAAUGACUUGAAUUUAGUGUUAGCAAAAUUUAAACAGAGUGGGUAAAAUUACAUUUCAGUUUGAACUAGCCAAAGUUCCAGGUUAACAAACAUGAAAUUGUCCAGAUCUAGAUAACUACAUGCUUCACAGGGCCUCCUGAGUUCCCCAUCCUCAAAUUUUCUCCUGGAAAGGGAAGAGAAUAUUUGUGAAGGCAAGAAAAUUAUAUUUUUAUGUAUGUGGUAAAAAGAUGC
rnacentral:lncRNA from 1 species